GCCUGGGUAGCUUAGUUGGUUAAGUGUCUGACUUCAGCUCAGGUCGUGAACUCACAGUUCAUGGGUUCCAGCCCCGUGCUGGGCU
rnacentral:tRNA from 1 species